rnacentral:rRNA from 1 species
GAUGAACGCUGGCGGCGUGCCUAAUACAUGCAAGUCGAGCGAACAGACGAGGAGCUUGCUCCUCUGACGUUAGCGGCGGACGGGUGAGUAACACGUGGAUAACCUACCUAUAAGACUGGGAUAACUUCGGGAAACAGGAGCUAAUACCGGAUAAUAUAUUGAACCGCAUGGUUCAAUAGUGAAAGACGGUUUUCCUGUCACUUAUAGAUGGAUCCGCGCCGCAUUAGCUAGUUGGUAAGGUAACGGCUUACCAAGGCGACGAUGCGUAGCCGACCUGAGAGGGUGAUCGGCCACACUGGAACUGAGACACGGUCCAGACUCCUACGGGAGGCAGCAGUAGGGAAUCUUCCGCAAUGGGCGAAAGCCUGACGGAGCAACGCCGCGUGAGUGAUGAAGGUCUUCGGAUCGUAAAACUCUGUUAUUAGGGAAGAACAAAUGUGUAAGUAACUAUGCACGUCUUGACGGUACCUAAUCAGAAAGCCACGGCUAACUACGUG